rnacentral:rRNA from 1 species
UACGGAGGUGGCAAGCGUUGCUCGGAAUCACUGGGCGUAAAGGGCGCGUAGGCGGGGAGGUAAGUCGGGUGUGAAAUCCCUCGGCCCAACUGAGGAACUGCGCUCGAGACUGCUUCUCUUGAGUCCCGGAGAGGAAGAUGGAAUUCCCGGUGUAGCGGUGAAAUGUGUAGAGAUCGGGAGGAACACCGGUGGCGAAGGCGACUUCCUGGCCUGUUCUUGACGCUGAGGCGCGAAAGCUAGGGGAGCAAACGGG